rnacentral:rRNA from 1 species
UACGUAGGGGGCAAGCGUUGUCCGGAUUUAUUGGGCGUAAAGAGCGUGUAGGCGGCCAAGCAGGUCAGCUGUGAAAACUCGAGGCUCAACCUCGAGACGUCGGUUGAAACCGCUUGGCUAGAGUCCGGAAGAGGAGAGUGGAAUUCCCGGUGUAGCGGUGAAAUGCGCAGAUAUCGGGAAGAACACCCGUGGCGAAGGCGGCUCUCUGGGCUGUAACUGACGCUGAGGCGCGAAAGCGUGGGGAGCAAACAGG